GACUCGUCACACUAUCAUUAACUGAAUCCAUAGGUUAAUGAGGCGAACCGGGGGAACUGAAACAUCUAAGUACCCCGAGGAAAAGAAAUCAACCGAGAUUCCCCCAGUAGCGGCGAGCGAACGGGGAGGAGCCCAGAGCCUGAAUCAGCAUGUGUGUUAGUGGAAGCGUCUGGAAAGGCGCGCGAUACAGGGUGACAGCCCCGUACACAAAAGCGCAUGUGCUGUGAGCUCGAUGAGUAGGGCGGGACACGUGGUAUCCUGUCUGAAUAUGGGGGGACCAUCCUCCAAGGCUAAAUACUCCUGACUGACCGAUAGUGAACCAGUACCGUGAGGGAAAGGCGAAAAGAACCCCGGCGAGGGGAGUGAAAAAGAACCUGAAACCGUGUACGUACAAGCAGUGGGAGCCCCACCACUAAGCCAGUGGUGAACUCCACAUACGCAUCCUUUGCUGAGGAUACGGUUAACGGAGCG
rnacentral:rRNA from 3 species